rnacentral:lncRNA from 1 species
ACUGGCCCUCACCAACAAAGAACUUGUCUUCUUGGCGGCGGCAUCUUCGAACUACCGCUUGUUUCGUUCAAUGUAUACACGCAUGUGCAGUUUUGCAGUCGUGUCGAGCUGAUACGGCUUAAAUCUUUUCCACCUGCGAAACGGCGCAGUUGCAUAGGCGACCUUCAGAUUUGAACAUGUGCGCUGAAAGGACUCCCCCGCGAAUAAGACGGACAGCAGCGGAAAAGCUGCGGAUUGGUGUGCUUCCUACGCACAACGAGUUCAUUUGCGAAUGUCAGCCGCCUGGCAAUACAAAGCGCUGCCUAUUUCAUUCAUGAAGGAGAAAGCAGGGCUACGAGAGCAGCAAGUGCACACCUUUUUAGGAGCAGUUUUCUCAAGUAUACGACGAACCUUACGCCUGAAGGCCGUACACUGAAAACACUAGUAUGGACUAUGCCCUUUUCACCACCUCCAGGACCAGCCCACCUUUCUCAGCACGGAAGUGACGUGGUAGAAGUUCUUGUGCCCUAGAAUACAAGGCAUAAGACGUCCUGUAAGGAUUCGCUGUAAUAAAGGAAUCGUGGCUCUCGAUGUCAUGCUUUGUUCGA